rnacentral:tRNA from 1 species
GCCUGGGUGGCUCAGUUGGUUAAGUAUCUGACUCCAGCUCAGGUAAUGAUCUCACAGGUCGUGAGUUCAAGCCCCACAUUAGGCU